AUUGAACGCUGGCGGCAGGCCUAACACAUGCAAGUCGAGCGAGCGGCGCACGGGUGAGUAAUGUAUGGGGACUGUGCGCUAGAGGGGGAUAACUAUAGGAAACACUGUCUAAUAUCCCAUACUGCAGGAUAACCCAUAGGGGAUUAGCUAGUAGGUAAGGUAAUGGCUUACCUAGGCGACGAUCCCUAGCUGUUCUGAGAGGAUGAUCAGCCACACUGGGACGGAGACACGGCCCAGACUCCUACGGAGGCAGCAGUGGGGAAUAUUGCACAAUAGGCGCAAGCCUGAUGCAGCCAUGCCGCGUGUAUGAAGAAGGCCCUAGGGUUGUAAAGUACUUUCAGUCGGGAGGCGUUACCGACAGAAGAAGCACCGGCUAACUCCGUGCCAGCAGCCGCGGUAAUAC
rnacentral:rRNA from 1 species